CUGUGUUCUUUUUUCUAUGGGGAGAGAAAAUUUUCUGGAUGUCUAUUUUUUCCCUUUGUUUCUUCCUUACCCGAGAAACUCCAUGCAAAGCCAUCGAAAGAAAAAUGCAAACACAAACCCUCCCAAAAACCCCGACUAGACUACACAUGCACCGACAAGUGCUCUCACGACACACACACCCCAGUGGAGGAGCUGGCAGCCACAAACAGGCACCAGGAAUCACCUAACGCAGAGGGGACGAAUAUAGAUUUGAAACAUAGUUGCAGCUCAUGCUUCCUAUGCUUUCAACAAUUAUUAUCAAAAGAAUAACAUGGCACCCAGAACCUGUGAUUUUGGGGGCAAUGCAAUCAUCACUCAGACCAAUCCCAGUAAGUAACAAGUCUUCCGACUUCUUUCAUUUUCCCCAUGCGCUCCAUGUAUCUCUGUAGAAAGUAGAAAUUUUCAAUAUUCAGACCAAUCCCAGUAAGUAACAAGUCUUCCGACUGCUUUCAUUUUCCACAUGCGCUCCAUGUAUCUCUGUAGAAAGUAGAAAUUAUCAGUAUUCUUGUAUGUAAAAUUUUGUUGGGAGGCCAAACAAGGUAUGGGCAUUACAAAAAGGUAUUAAAGUAGAGGGAAUGGCCACCCAGGGGACUAGAAAAGAAUAAGUCUGAAUCGGGGUUGUAUGUAUGUAGCUCAAUUCAUAUCUACAGUGGUUGUAACUGGCUAAAUUUGGCACAUUUGUUAUAUUUUGCAAUCAGUGUCAGGACAUUGAUCAAAAACCAAAAUAUGUUUGUUGUAUAUGAGCCCAAGAAGGUCAUAAUCUUGCUGCUAUCGAAGACAAACCCUAGGUGAUUCAAGACAACUUUCUUAUUUGUAAAUUGCGGAGCAACUCUUAGACAAUUUUCAAGCUCAAAUAUUAUGAUGGAUUCUUAUUGGCCUCGUGUUUGAUUUAUAUGACAUUUUUGUAAGAAAUAAAAAUCUCGGAAGGAGUACUAUCCAGUAGGUGGUUGCAAUUGCUUCUACUGUGUUGGAUAACUUCAAAGUAGAAGCUUAAAAAAUGGUGGUAUCCCAUGGAAUGGGCAUUUGUUCCCCCUCAACACUUCAUUCGGCUUGUUCAAAGGUAAUUUGCUAUGCCAACGUGAGAAGAAUUAGAUAUUUAAGGCAACUGGAUAAUGCAUUUUGUCCUCUGUUUUAAAGGUCUAAGAAUAUGUCUGGAAUUGUCAGCAGGUGUGAACUUCAUUUUGAAUAUUUAUUAGCUUAUUUGCCA